GCGGAAGUGGCGAAAUUGGUAGACGCACCAGAUUUAGGUUCUGGCGCCGCGAGGCGUAAGAGUUCAAGUCUCUUCUUCUGCACCA
rnacentral:tRNA from 1 species